AGCUUUAUUCUCUGUACAAUUCUUAAGACUUCUUGCCAAGUUAAGUAAACAGAAAUGGUCUUUUUGAUUACUUUUGUGACUUGUUUGACUAUCUAAGGCCGGUCCUUUAGAUAGUGGGUUUUGGAUGUGUCAAAUAGAUGGCGUGAAAGAAUAUUGUGUUGAUAUGUGCUUAUGGCGGCUCGUUGUCAACAGUUCAGCUACAGCUAUUUUCUUCACAAAUUACCAAUGAAUUCUUUGGAGAAAAUGUGAAAGGGGCAUGCAGCCUACUGUCAACUAUUGUGUUGUAAAUCCUGGGAUCCCACUGAAUGUGUCAUCCAAAUGACAGAGGAUUCAUCAUAAUUAUCGACUGAUUCUUUUAGACUUGCUAGAUCACCAACCCCAGCAUGGCCAUCUUCUAGAGAACCUUGGAUAACUGAUUGGUAUUUUUUUAUUUUAGUGUGUUUCUAAUUUUGCAUGACAGACUUUAUGAGAAGUCUUUGAAGAAAAAGGACAAUAUUACAGUCAACAAGCUCCUUUGUUUGGUAACCCGUUGGCUGCUACCCUUGAAUAUCCCUUUUUACUUCCUUAAACAGGCCCUCUUGAUUUGAGGGUAACUCCUUCACUACUUAUCAUGGACUUCAUCCAUUGGUGAAAACUUAUAAGAAAAAGCUGAAAUUCAAGACUGAUGGUUGUCAGAUGUCUAAGCCGGAAGUCUACUAGGGUUAAUCGGCCAAUCGCUCUCGUAAUAACUGUUCCUCUCCCUGUCUUUAUUGACUGUAUGUGCGAGUUUCAAAAGCAGUUUAUCACCCAAAUGAGACAAAAGGAGUUUGUUUUAUUU